AAGUAGAAAGCGAAGUUUGCAAUCUGUUUCGACCAGAACCUUGGUAUAAUAUUAGUACCUCUACUUA
rnacentral:tRNA from 1 species